rnacentral:rRNA from 1 species
CGGUUCUUGUACCUGGUGGCGANCGGCGGACGGGUGANUAAUGCCUAGGCAAUCUGCCUGGUANUGGGGGAUAACGCUCGAGAAACGGACGCUAAUACCGCAUACNUCCUACNGGAGGAAAGCAGGGGACCUUCNGGCCUUGCGCUAUCAGAUGAGCCUAGGUCGGAUUAGCUAGUUGGUGAGGUAAUGGCUCACCAAGGCGACGAUCCGUAACUGGUCUGAGAGGAUGAUCAGUCACACUGGAACUGAGACACGGUCCAGACUCCUACGGGAGGCAGCAGUGGGGAAUAUUGGACAAUGGGCGAAAGCCUGAUCCAGCCAUGCCGCGUGUGUGAAGAAGGUCUUCGGAUUGUAAAGCACUUUAAGUUGGGAGGAAGGGCAUUAACCUAAUACGUUGGUGUCUUGACGUUACCGACAGAAUAAGCACCGGCUAACUCUGUGCCAGCAGCCGCGGUAAUACAGAGGGUGCAAGCGUUAAUCGGAAUUACUGGGCGUAAAGCGCGCGUAGGUGGUUUGUUAAGUUGGAUGUGAAAUCCCCGGGCUCAACCUGGGAACUGCAUUCAAAACUGACAAGCUAGAGUAUGGUANAGGGUGGUGGAAUUUCCUGU